rnacentral:rRNA from 1 species
AUUGAACGCUGGCGGCAGGCCUAACACAUGCCAGUCGAGCGGAUGAAGGGAGCUUGCUCCUGGAUUCAGCGGCGGACGGGUGAGUAAUGCCUAGGAAUCUGCCUGGUAGUGGGGGAUAACGUCCGGAAACGGGCGCUAAUACCGCAUACGUCCUGAGGGAGAACGUGGGGGAUCUUCGGACCUCACGCUAUCAGAUGAGCCUAGGUCGGAUUAGCUAGUUGGUGGGGUAACGGCCUACCAAGGCGACGAUCCGUAACUGGCCUGGGAGGAUGAUCAGUCAACUGGAAACGGAGACCCGGCCCAGACCCCACGGGAGGGAAGCGGGGGGGAAUUUUGACAAAGGGGGGAAGGCCUAUUCCACCCUUGCCGGGUGUGUGAAAAAGGCCUUGGGUUGGAAAGGCCUUUUGUGUGGAAAGAAAGGGCAGAGGGUUAAAACCUGGUUGUUUGAAGGUACCCAAAGGAUUAGGCACGGGUAAACUCGU